GAAAGAAAGAGGCAAUUAUUCAAAGAACAUGAUACAGACUAUGACAGAAGCAAAAGUGGGCUGUGGCUAUUUGAAAAUCAGAGCAUCUUUUAAAAGGGAGACGGCAUCUGAACCUUGCCGAGUAGGAAUGUUCCAGAAGUAAGAGAGAUGACUAGGGUUUCAAGAACAAGGACCAGCACCUAUGAAGGCUCUGAGGCACAGACCACUGUGACCUGUGGAGAAGUGACAGUCUUGAUAAGGGGCGGGAGGAACGGACGCAACAAGGAGAAAGGAAGCAACGGAAGGUCUUCGGCUGCUAAAAAAUGUAACUGACAAAGAGUCCAGGGCUGUUUGUAUUUUUCUUCCUCUGUGUCUCAUAUUAAACACUUUGGGUCUGAUGACUGAGUUUCUC
rnacentral:lncRNA from 10 species